AUCGCUUCUCGGCCUUAUGGCUAAGAUCAAAGUGUAGUAUCUGUUCUUUUCAGCUUAAUAUCUGAAAGUUCCCUCAUUGAGGGACCAGUAUAUUAAACUGAUUUUUGUAAAACGCCGGGAUUUUGGCCCAACU
rnacentral:snRNA from 1 species